rnacentral:rRNA from 1 species
CCUACGGGAGGCAGCAGUGGGGAAUAUUGGUCAAUGGAGGAAACUCUGAACCAGCAACGCCGCGUGAAUGAUGAAGGUCUACGGGUGGUAAAGUUCUUUUCUGAGGGAAGAAGAAUGUGACGGUACCUUAGGACUAAGCCUCGGCUAGCUACGGGCCCGAAGCCGCGGUAAUACGUAGGAGGCGAACGUUAUCCGGAAUGACUGGUUGUAAGGGGUGCGUGGGUGGUGUGGUAAGUUGGUAGCGUAACUCCCAGGCUCAACGUUGGCACUACUACUAAAACUGUCGGACUGGAGUGCAGGAGGGGUGAGUGGAAUUCCUAGUGUAGCGGUGGAAUGCGCAGAUAUUAGGAGGAACACCGGUUGCGAAGGCGAAUUGCUGGACUGUAACUGACACUGAGGCACGAAAGCGUGGGGAGCAAACAGGAUUAGAUACCCUUGUAGUC